CAGCUCACAUUCAGGCAUUCAGGGCUUGAAAGGAAAGGCUUAAGGAGCUUGACGGAGGCCGGGAGCUCCUCCUACUCUUAAGGAAGCUCGGAUAUGCAGCCCUAGCUCGCGUACUGAACCAGCGGGCAGGGCUUAAGGGCAGCUGUUUGCAUCCGGCUCAGGCACGGGCCUUUUUUGUUUGGUUCUUUUUUCUUUUUCUUGCUUUUUUUUUUUUUUUAUAGUUUUAUUAAUUCUCGCUGGUCCCCAUCUGUGCUUUCGACUGGAUUCAGAACUCAGUUUAUCUUCCAGGCCCCCUGUCUUUGGGUCUCGAUCACCACAGAGGGGAGGGCGAGAAUGCAGAGAGAAAAUGUGAGACUGAAACUUUUUUAAAGAAGCAUACAAGAAAGAAGCACACACUUUAUUAGGGAGAUGUUGAUGAGAUGCUUACAACCCUCCCCCCGCCCCCGAGUCCCAGUUAGGCCAUCUGGCAGGUACCGCCGUAAAUUGCAAGACCGAAAUCCAAUCAACCGAAGUAAUUUCUUAGGAAGAUAAGCUUGCAACACGUGCAGUAAUGAAAGAAUUUAAAUAGCAUUAAAAAUAUUCCGGAAUGUUGAGCAAGUGCCACCUGGCCGCAGUCACAAGACAGAAGAAGGAGAUAAAUGGGCACACACCAAAGGUUUGUAUUAAAGUGUAAGUUUCAGCCCCUCACUACAUUUAAGGGAGGCUGCCCCGCAGAGGAAACUUCUGCUGUCUCGGCGCGGGAGUUACCGAGCUACCUUAACUGGGGCGCAACGCAGCCUUCGGCCACCAGAGGCAGCGGGCGUCUGCGGCCUGUCAAAAACUGGCGCUUUUUUCCUCCCCUUUCCGUGGAGAGACUAUCAACUCCAUCUGUCACAAAAAUUAAGGCUAAAUCUCCUCUCCAGAAACAGAGGGAGCCGGGGCUCCGACGCGCUCAGCGUCGGGUUGUCCGCCUCUCCCUAGAGGCCAAGUGAAUUUGAAACAGCAAAAGUCACAGCCGCAGGCCCAGCACUAGGAGAUUCCUCCGGCUGUGGGACAUCCUCCUGUGCCUGCUGAGGCUGCUGCGGUCCUUAGAGGCGCUGGGUCUGCCGUGGGAAGCUGCACCUCUGCAGUACCAAAGUCAAACCUUAAAAGAGCCAGACUGAGGCAGAGGAGCUGAGCAGCUAAUUGGAGGGGACAGUAUGAGCCUCCAAAGAUUAGGGAAGAAAAGUGCAGUUGAAGAAAACUUCCUUUGAUUCAGUGCAAAAAUAAUGGAAUGAAUGGCAUACUGAAAUAUCAUAUGACAUACAAAAAUGGUGAAAGGCAUUUAAUACCUUCUUCUCUGCACAAAGGACCUAGAUUUUGGGUCCAGGUAGCCAGCAGAGGUGUCUCAACAUGAAGGAAGACCCAGACCCAGUGGACAAAUUCUGGUUGAUCUAAUGUAAUGAUACUAGCUCCAUUCUUCUUUACCAAUGAGUGCUCUAGGGAUACUGAAUUGGAGCCAGCUAACGUAUGGAGCUUACCUUGGUUGUCACCUUCUGGUCUCUGUUUGAGGACCAACUGCAUGUGAUUACGGGUUGAUACUGAGAUCUUGUUCCUGAUCUUCCAUUUUUGCAAAGACUGAAGGUUCAAUCUAUUUUUUAGACCAUUACUUUUGUUCUGUCAUACCUGAGUGUCUACACCAUCAUGACUAAGCUGUGGCUGAAAACCAUUUGAUAAUGAAGCAAUGGAGCUGACAAUGAUAUUCACUCAUUGCCUGGUUUUUUUUUUUUUUUUUUUUUUUUGGUGCUUUUAAAAAUUGCUGUCUAAUUAUAGAAUUGUAUUCACUCCUGUUUUAAUAAAUAAGAGACGAUUUACAAUAACUCACUUGCAGCAAUGUGCUUUGAAUCAUUUCAGAGAAGAUGGAGGACAGAAGAGAUUGGCUGACACCACAGUAUGAUAAAAAAAAAAAAAAAAACGGAAUCAGUGGUAUUUAUGAGAUGGAUAAAUAAAGCACGCACCCACCCCUAUAAGCCCACUGCAUGGUCAAGUUCUUAGGAAGGUGAUGAGGCAACCUCUCCGAUAUUCCCAUUAUAGAGCUCCACUAAUAUUCUGCUUGGUGAUGACAAGGUUGAAUUUAGAUUGGUUGAUAGUUGGUAUUGAGCCCAAAACCAGGGUUGAAGUUGUUCUAGGGAGAGGCUGGAUUGAGGCACAAUGUAGGCUAACGUUAACCUCCUCCUGACUAGACACCCCAGCGGAAGGGCCUUGACACAAACCCAGUGUAUCUCCUGAGUGGGCAAAUACAAAGAGCGAUCCAGGGUGUUAGUUGCUAGUUGCAUGACCUGAGCAGCAAUGCAGGGAGGACCUUCCUUUUGCCUUUGAGCCUCCUCCUCCAGAGAAACUUUUACCAGUGACUUGGCAGUGAGACGUGUGUUUCAUGUAGUGGUGAAUGUUUUAGAUCCCCAGACUCUUGUUCUACUGAAGACCCUCCUUCCAGGGUCCUGCAUUGAACUGGCCUUGCUGCAGCCUUCCUGAGUCUGUCAGCAGUAAAGGCAACAGUCCCCAGAAUGGAGCAUUUUAGCCAAUAGUUAAAAGUCCUGGUAUUUUCUCCACAAAGUGAUGAUAAGAAAGGGGGUUGACCCCUCAAUCAUAUCAAAAAUGUUUGGAGGUCACUGGGUAGACAUGAAAGACAACCUGUUGAAAAUUUAGAUGGAGGUCUGGAGUCAUACAAGCAGAGGAAAAAGACUGAAAAGAAAUAAUGUCAGAAUGUUAAUGAUAUGGUGAUGUUAGAGUUGAUUUUAUUUUUUUUUCGUUGUACUCUGUAGUGUGAAUUCUCUAAAAGGAGCAUUUUUUAAACAAGAAAAAAAAUAUACAAUGUUAAAAUAGGCACAGAAAACCUGAAUACAAUAAAAUACUUUUAAAUAAGUUAACACUCAUAUCUAGAAACUCUAAGCAAAACUAGUUUGCCAACAGUCACAAAAGGUAAUUCUAUUUAGAUUAAAAAUGUGAGCUAUGACUAUCUCACUUUCAGAUAUUCACAGAAUAGGAUACCAGGACUAAAUUGUGUGCAUGGCUGAGGAAACAUAGCUUUUUGUUUUCUCUGUGUCAGGUGGUUUCUCUCUCUUUAACCAAGAUUACAUUUCCAGAGUAUCUACUUCUCCAUUUCUCCUGCCUUUUAUUUUUCCGUGGUUGCAAUCUCCUGUAAUUAUGAGAAAAAAGUUUUUUUAGCUGGCUCUGAGAUUAGCCAGUUUGGAGCCAACCUGACGAUUCCCAGUUGGUGCUAAUAAUCUUCUCUGUAGACACGUAAGUUUUCAGGACAUUCAGCUCUGCUCUGAGACUUAAAACAGCUGGAAAAUGCAUGACUUGAGUUUUUAGAUCUGACAGCAUUUGAAUCCACUGUCAAAUAGUACUUAAUACCUGUUAAUCUUUUUGCAGUUUAUUUUCUUGUGCUUAGAUAUUUGCUACAGUAAUUAAAAGCAGUUAUGAAUUCCUGAAAUAUAAUUCCAAAUACCUAGUUCUAAUGAGUCAAUCCAGUACUUGGAUAAACAAAUACCAAAGUUCAGGAGAGGGUUAAAAAGUUGGGAGUUGUCUUUAUUUUUGAAUCACACUAUCUUUAAAUUGCACAGUAUUAUCCUUAAACUGUACAAAUUCAACCUGAAAGGACAAACCAUUCCUCAAAUUAACGCCUUUUGCACUUUGGUGAUACAUCUUUAUUUACGAAAACCUGACAUCUCCAUUUCAUUAAAUUUUUAGCACUAAUCUGUGCUUCUUGCUAGAUAUUUAACAAAUGAAGUUUUUGUUAAUGUAUUAGUCUGUUCUCACACUGCUAAUAAAG